UACAGAGGGUGCAAGCGUUGUUCGGAAUUAUUGGGCGUAAAGGGCGCGUAGGCGGUGCGGUAAGUCUGUAGUGAAAUCUCUGGGCUCAACUCAGAGUCUGCUGCAGAAACUGCCGUGCUUGAGUGUGGGAGAGGUGAGUGGAAUUCCCGGUGUAGAGGUGAAAUUCGUAGAUAUCGGGAGGAACACCAGUGGCGAAGGCGGCGAUCUGGGAAGAUACUGACGCUGAGGUGCGAAAGCGUGGGGAGCAAACAGG
rnacentral:rRNA from 1 species